AGUGAGGUGAAAGUAUGGUAGCUCGUCGGGCUCAUAACCCGAAGGUCGCAGGUUCAAAUCCUGCCCCCGCAACCA
rnacentral:tRNA from 2 species